GGAAUAUAGCUCAGGAUGGUAGAGUCCUUGCCUCACAUGCAUAAGGCCCUGGGUUCGAUCCCCAGCACCA
rnacentral:tRNA from 1 species